AUACGUAGGGUGCGAGCGUUGUCCGGAAUGAUUGGGCGUAAAGGGCGCGUAGGCGGCCUGUUAAGUCUGGAGUGAAAGUCCUGUUUUCAAGAUGGGAAUUGCUUUGGAUACUGAUGGGCUUGAGUGCAGGAGAGGUUAUCGGAAUUCCCGGUGUAGCGGUGAAAUGCGUAGAGAUCGGGAGGAACACCAGUGGCGAAGGCGGGUAACUGGACUGCAACUGACGUUGAGGCGCGAAAGUGUGGGGAGCAAACAGGAUUAGAUACCCUGGUAGUCCACACUGUAAACGAUGAAUGCUAGGUGUAAGAGGUAUCGACCCCUUUUGUGCCGGAGUUAACACAAUAAGCAUUCCGCCUGGGGAGUACGGCCGCAAGGUUGAAACUCAAAUGAAUUGACGGGG
rnacentral:rRNA from 1 species